rnacentral:lncRNA from 1 species
UUCUUUAUUUCUUUUUGCAGUAUUAAACCUGAUCCAAGGGGGCCACAAAUCUGGCCAAGGUUGGUGCUGAAAUGGGCCGAAGUAAUAUGGCCAGUGCUUAUGGACUAAAGCCAUUUUGGGCAGCAAAUUAAUGAAACGUUGCGUUCAAGCAACUGUGUGUGUACUGAAGGAGUAUACCCGUGAAGAGGGUUUCAUUUCUCCAAAUUAGAAGCAAUUGAAGCUACGACUCACAAAGAAGAUUUUCCCCAAAUUCUAUAAACCCUCAAUCUAGGGUUCGUGGUCCAGCAAGAGGGGAUCAGUCCGAUGAAGCAAAUCCAAAGAACGACAACCCAAAAAGGGGAACAACCCAAGAUGUUGAUCGGUCAGAUUGGAGGUUGGAAGCACGUGUUAAGCUUGAACCGUUUGAGAACCUGGUUAGAGUCAGUUGAGGGAUAUUCAAGAAGCUUCCAAGUUUGUUUCAGAUUCUUUCCCCUUUCCCCCUUUCUCCUAUUUUCUUUUCUUUUUUGUUUUGUACUUGCCCUAUAUAAAGGGGAGUUUUGUAAUGAGAAUAGUACGUGCACUGGGUGACAGACGGUGUGCUUAGCUUAAGUUUUUCAUUCUCUCGCUUUAGAGUAGAUUUCUUUACAGCCUUCGUAGGGGUAGACACUUUGCUUCUUGCAUUGGGGUUCUUGGAUUUUCCAUUGGGUGACAGACAUUGGUUAUCUGAGAAACUCUGGUAUUUGUAAUUCUGAAUUUAGUUUCCAAUAAAGCAUUUUUUUUUCAGUUUCGAUUCGCUUUAUAUUUGAUCUUGUUUGGUUGAUUUCUGCACUUGUUUUAC